UUUGAGUAGUAUAACUAUUAUAGGUACCUUCCAAAUACAAGAUCUCGGAAGAGCUCAUAAG
rnacentral:tRNA from 1 species